rnacentral:snoRNA from 1 species
UUCAAUGAUGAACCCCAGAUAGGGACAACUUAUGCCAAUGGCAUGUGAUGAGAUCCUUGGGCCGAGAAUUUUAGUAGAUGCCUCGUGGUCUGAUA